UUACGGAAGGCAGCAGUGGGGAAUUUUGGACAAUGGGCGCAAGCCUGAUCCAGCAAUGCCGCGUGAGUGAAGAAGGCCUUCGGGUUGUAAAGCUCUUUCAGUCGAGAAGAAAAGGUUGUGACUAAUAAUUGCAACUUAUGACGGUAUCGACAGAAGAAGCACCGGCUAACUACGUGCCAGCAGCCGCGGUAAUACGUAGGGUGCGAGCGUUAAUCGGAAUUACUGGGCGUAAAGGGUGCGCAGGCGGUUCUGUAAGUCAGAUGUGAAAUCCCCGGGCUUAACCUGGGAACUGCGUUUGAAACUACAGAGCUAGAGUGUGGCAGAGGGGGGUGGAAUUCCAUGUGUAGCAGUGAAAUGCGUAGAGAUAUGGAAGAACAUCGAUGGCGAAGGCAGCCCCCUGGGUUAACACUGACGCUCAUGCACGAAAGCGUGGGGAGCAAACAGGAUUAGAUACCCUGGUAGC
rnacentral:rRNA from 1 species